UACGGGGGGGGCAAGCGUUGUUCGGAAUUACUGGGCGUAAAGGGCUCGUAGGCGGCCAACUAAGUCAGACGUGAAAUCCCUCGGCUUAACCGGGGAACUGCGUCUGAUACUGGAUGGCUUGAAUCCGGGAGAGGGAUGCGGAAUUCCAGGUGUAGCGGUGAAAUGCGUAGAUAUCUGGAGGAAAACCGGUGGCGAAGGCGGCAUCCUGGACCGGCAUUGACGCUGAGGAGCGAAAGCCAGGGGAGCAAACGGG
rnacentral:rRNA from 1 species